UACGUAGGGUGCAAGCGUUGUCCGGAAUUAUUGGGCGUAAAGAGCUCGUAGGCGGUCUGUCGCGUCGAAUGUGAAAACCCGGGGCUCAACUCCGGGCUUGCAUUCGAUACGGGCAGGCUAGAGUUCGGUAGGGGAGUCUAGAAUUCCUGGUGUAGCGGUGAAAUGCGCAGAUAUCAGGAGGAACACCGGUGGCGAAGGCGGGACUCUGGGCCGAUACUGACGCUGAGGAGCGAAAGCGUGGGGAGCGAACAGG
rnacentral:rRNA from 1 species